rnacentral:lncRNA from 1 species
AUGCUGUCCCUCCGAUGCUGAGUGCAGCUGUUGCUGUGGUUUGAAGAAAGGACACCAGCUUAAGCGUCAUUAAAUCUGGAUUUGGGUCUAUGUCCUAGUUCUCUUCUGGGCCCUUCACUGGGUGAACUCAGUGAAAGAGUAACAUCACAGCGGAUAUCCAGUGAGGAGCAAGGACUAGAAUUCAUUUCUUGCUCCGGGAUCAUUCAAGCAAAACCAAUUCAAAUACCUUAUCUUGUUGUACCAUCAGAACCUGUGCCCAACUGGAAAGGUAUAGUAGGUGUCUUUGGUCAUUAGGGGGUAGCAAGGGACAAUAUGAUACAUAUUUGUCACUACCUUAGUACAGGGUAUAUAAUAAAGUACACCGCUUUCAGGUUCCCA